CCCUUAGACGUUCUGGGCCGCACGCGCGCUACACUGACGAAGGCAACGAGCUUUCCUUUACCGAAAGGUACGGGUAAUCUUUUGAAACUUCGUCGUGCUGGGGAUAGAUCCUUGCAAUUUUUGAUCUUAAACGAGGAAUUCCUAGUAAGCGCAAGUCAUCAACUUGCGUUGAUUACGUCCCUGCCCUUUGUACACACCGCCCGUCACUACUACCGAUUGAAUGGUUUAGUGAGGCCUUCGGAUCCGCGACUCGUUUUGUGGAGAAGUUGGACAAACUCAGUCAUUUAGAGGAAGUAAAAGUCGUAACA
rnacentral:rRNA from 1 species